GACGAACGCUGGCGGCGUGCUUAACACAUGCAAGUCGAACGGAAAGGCCCUGCUUUUGUGGGGUACUCGAGUGGCGAACGGGUGAGUAACACGUGAGUAACCUGCCCUUGACUUUGGGAUAACUUCAGGAAACUGGGGCUAAUACCGGAUAGGAGCUCCUGCUGCAUGGUGGGGGUUGGAAAGUUUCGGCGGUUGGGGAUGGACUCGCGGCUUAUCAGCUUGUUGGUGGGGUAGUGGCUUACCAAGGCUUUGACGGGUAGCCGGCCUGAGAGGGUGACCGGCCACAUUGGGACUGAGAUACGGCCCAGACUCCUACGGGAGGCAGCAGUGGGGAAUAUUGCACAAUGGGCGGGAGCCUGAUGCAGCAACGCCGCGUGCGGGAUGACGGCCUUCGGGUUGUAAACCGCUUUCGCCUGUGACGAAGCGUGAGUGACGGUAAUGGGUAAAGAAGCACCGGCUAACUACGUG
rnacentral:rRNA from 1 species